AAAAACAUUGUCUCAUGAACAAAAUAUGAGAUAUUACCUGCCCAGUGACAAUGUUCAACGGCCGCGGUAUCCUAACCGUGCAAAGGUAGCAUAAUCAUUUGCCUGUUAAUUGCAGGCUAGAAUGAAAGGUUUAACGAAAUAAAAACUGUCUCAAUUAGUCACCUAAAAAUUAUUAUCUACAUGAAGAAAUGUAGAUAAACUCGAAGGACAAGAAGACCCUAUAGAGCUUUAUUUUACCUAUAGAACAAUACUAUAUAAAUAUUCGGUUGGGGCGACCCCGGGCUAAAUAAUCACCCACAAUAUAUAAGAUAUAUUAAUCAACUAAGUGACCCUUAUAAAGAUCAUAAGACCAAGCUACCUUAGGGAUAACAGGCUAAUCCCACUAAAGAGUCCCUAUCGACAGUGGGGGUUGGCACCUCGAUGUUGGCUUAGGAUAUCUAUAUAGCGCAAAAGCUAUAUAAAGAUGGUUUGUUCAACCAAUAACAUCCUACGU
rnacentral:rRNA from 1 species